rnacentral:rRNA from 1 species
AGUAACGCGUGGGCAACCUGCCCCGCACUGGGGGACAACAGCCGGAAACGGCUGCUAAUACCGCAUAUGCGCACAGCUUUGCAUGAAGCAGUGUGGAAAACUCCGGUGGUGCGGGAUGGGCCCGCGUCUGAUUAGCUGGUUGGCGGGGCAACGGCCCACCAAGGCGACGAUCAGUAGCCGGCCUGAGAGGGUGGACGGCCACAUUGGGACUGAGACACGGCCCAGACUCCUACGGAAGGCAGCAG